UACGUAGGGUGCAAGCGUUGUCCGGAAUUAUUGGGCGUAAAGAGCUCGUAGGCGGUCUGUCGCGUCGGCUGUGAAAACCCGCGGCUCAACUGCGGGCCUGCAGCCGAUACGGGCAGGCUAGAGUUCGGUAGGGGAGACUGGAAUUCCUGGUGUAGCGGUGAAAUGACGCAGAUAUCAGGAGGAACACCGGUGGCGAAGGCGGGUCUCUGGGCCGAUACUGACGCUGAGGAGCGAAAGCGUGGGGAGCGAACAGG
rnacentral:rRNA from 1 species